CCCUUAGAUGUUCUGGGCCGCACGCGCGCUACACUGACGAAGUCAGCGAGCAUGUCCUACGCCGACAGGUGCGGGGAAUCUUGUCAAACUUCGUCGUGAUGGGGAUUGAUUUUUGAAAUUCUUGAUCAUAAACGAGGAAUUCCUAGUAAGCGCAAGUCAGCAGCUUGCGUUGAUUACGUCCCUGCCCUUUGUACACACCGCCCGUCGCUACUACCGAUUGAAUGGUUUAGUGAGAUCUUCGGAUUGGCGCCACUGCAGCUCAGCAAUGGGCUUGGUGGAUGCCGAAAAGUUGAUCAAACUUGAUCAUUUAGAGGAAGUAGAAGUCGUAACA
rnacentral:rRNA from 1 species